rnacentral:snoRNA from 1 species
UGGACAUUUAUUCUUAUUCAGUUUCUUCUCAAGGUGAAGAUAACUAUAAAUAUCCUAGAGAAAUAUAGUAGCUUUCUGUUCACCCUUUGCAAGUAAAAAGGGUGGAUUAUUCCACUACUGACACCA